GGGUGGAUGGCGGAAUUGGUAGACGCACCGCACUCAAAAUGCGGCGAGGCAGCCCCUCGUGGGAGUUCGAGUCUCCCUCUACCCA
rnacentral:tRNA from 4 species